rnacentral:lncRNA from 1 species
ACCACCAUUAAUUCAAUAAAACAAGCAAUCAAACAUUAAAAAAGUGAAGACAAAUCAACAUCAGUUCUCCAACCAACAACAUCACAAUAUUUGUAAAUGAAAACAGUACAACAUCACCACAAAAUGGGGAAAAAAAAGUACUUCAAGCCUCGAGUUUAACAUGGUACUUCAACAUAACAACAAUCACAUAUUAAAACUAUAGUCACAUCAAAGUAGUUCCAAGAUAGGUCCUCUCCUUACUUCUGACAUCUUCACAAAUGACACCCUGAAAUUGGGAUCCUUGAAAGCCUUUAUUGCUUUCAUGUAAACCUCAUUGGACACCCCUUCCUUAUUGUUUAAAAUGUCCAAGCAAGUAACAUUUGAAUAAGGAUCUGGACUAGUAACUUCAUUAUCUGAUUGACAACUACCUUUUCCUUUGAUCUUUGCAAGCUUCUCUUUUAGGUAAAGUGUUCUUAGUUCAGUUUCUUCAUUCCUCAAACUAACUGUAGAUGACCACUGUGUCAUAAAGGCCUCGAGUUUAUCACUUUUACUGACCUUAGGUUCCUCACGUCGUAGUUUACCCAAUGUACCAAUUUCGUUACGCGGACGAGUAUUUGAAACCACGUAGACUUCAUCAUCAUUUUCCGCUGUCACAUGUACUCCUCUAUUCAAAAAAUCAUCUUCUAGCUGCCUUUCUUCCUCUGAUGUGUUUGGACGCUGGGUGGAGGCACUGCCUAAUCCUUUAGUAGCUGUAGUCCCGCUGAAUAUCUCCCCAAGAGUAUGGUAGUGCUUACAUCCUUCCCUCUUAAACAACUUGUAAUCCGACUUGUUAAUCUAACUUUGAAAAAAAAUAAACCACAU